AGAACCCCAUAAGAUCCCAUCAGACCCCACCAGAACCCCAUAGAACCCCAUAAGAUCCCAUCAGACCCCACCAGAACCCCAUAAGACCCCACCAGAACCCCAUAAGAUCCCAUAGGAUCCCAUCAGACCCCACCAGAACCCCAUAAGAUCCCAUCAGACCCCACCAGAUCCCAUCAGACCCCACCAGAACCCCAUAAGACCCCCACCAGAACCCCAUAAGAUCCCACCAGACCCCACCAGAACCCCACCAGAUCCCAUAAGAUCCCAUCAGACCCCACCAGAACCCCAUAGAACCCCAUAGGAUCCCAUCAGACCCCUCCGAACCCCAUAGAACCCCAUAAGAUCCCAUCAGACCCCACCAGAACCCCAUAAGACCCUACCAGAACCCCAUAAGACCCCAUCAGACCCCACCAGAACCCCAUAAGACCCCACCAGAACCCCAUAAGAUCCCAUCAGACCCCUCCAGAACCCCAUAGAACCCCACCAGAACCUCAUAAGACCCCACCAGAACCCCAUAAGAUCCCAUCAGAUCCCACCAGAACCCCACCAGAUCCCAUAAGACCCCACCAGACCCCACCAGAACGCCAUAGAACCCCAUCAGACCCCACCAGAUCCCAUCAGACCCCAUCAGAACCCCAUAAGAUCCCAUCAGACCCCUCCAGAACCCCAUAGAACCCCAUAAGAUCCCAUCAGACCCCACCAGAACCCCAUAGAACCCCACCAGAACCCCAUAAGACCCCACCAGAACCCCAUAGAACCCCAUAAUAUCCCAUCAGACCCCUUCAGAACCCCAUAGAACCCCAUAAGAUCCCAUCAAACCCCACCAGAACCCCAUCAGACCCCACCAGAACCCCAUAAGAUCCCAUAGGUUCCCAUCAGACCCCACCAGAACCCCAUAAGAUCCCAACAGACCCCACCAGAACCCCACCAGAUCCCAUAAGAUCCCAUAAGACCCCACCAGAACCCCAUCAGACCCCACCAGGCCCCACAAGAUCCCAUAAGACCCCACCAGACCCCACCAGAACCCCAUAAGACCCCAUAAGACCCCACCAGAACCCCAUAGAACCCCACCAGAACCCCAUAAGACCACACCAGAACCCCAUAAGAUCCCAUAGGUUCCCAUCAGACCCCACCAGAACCCCAUAAGAUCCCAUAAGACCCCACCAGAUCCCAUCAGACCCCACCAGAACCCCAUAAGAUCCCAUAGGUUCCCAUCAGACCCCACCAGAACCCCAUAAGAUCCCAUCAGACCCCACCAGAACCCCAUAAGACCCCACCAGAACCCCAUAAGACCCCAUCAGACCCCUCCAGAACCCCAUAGAACCCCACCAGAACCUCAUAAGACCCCACCAGAACCCCAUAAGAUCCCAUAGGAUCCCACCAGACCCCACCAGAACCCCAUAAGACCCCACCAGACCCCACCAGAACCCCAUAAGAUCCCAUCAGACCCCACCAGGCCCCACAAGAUCCCAUCAGACCCCAUAAGAUCCCAUCAGACCCCACCAGAACCCCAUAGAACACCAUAGAACCCCAUAAGACCCCACCAGAACCCCAUAAGAUCCCAUAGGAUCCCACCAGAAC
ensembl:lncRNA